rnacentral:rRNA from 1 species
CGGAACGUACUCUGGCCGCCGCCUAACACUUGCAAGUCGAACGAAGUAGCAAUACUUAGUGGCAGACGGGUGAGUAACAUGUAGGUAUCUGCCCUUUGGCCUGGAAUAACACGAGGAAACUUGUGCUAAUACCGGAUAAGUCUUUACGGAGAAAGCUUUAUGCACCAUUGGAUGAGCCUGCACUUGAUUAGUUUGUUGGUGGGGUAAUGGCCUACCAAGACUGUGAUCAAUAGCUGAUUUGAGAGGAUGAUCAGCCACAUUGGGACUGAGACACGGCCCAAACUCCUACGGGAGGCAGCAGUGGGGAAUCUUGCACAAUGGAGGAAACUCUGAUGCAGCGAUGCCGCGUGAGUGAAGAAGGCCCUUGGGUUGUAAAGCUCUUUCGUCGGGGAAGAAAAUGACUGUACCCGAAUAAGAAGGUCCGGCUAACUUCGUGCCAGCAGCCGCGGUAAUACGAAGGGACCUAGCGUAGUUCGGAAUUACUGGGCUUAAAGAGUUCGUAGGUGGUUGAAAAAGUUAGUGGUGAAAUCCCAGAGCUUAACUCUGGAACUGCCAUUAAAACUUUUCAGCUAGAGUAUGAUAGAGGAAAGCAGAAUUUCUAGUGUAGAGGUGAAAUUCGUAGAUAUUAGAAAGAAUACCAAUUGCGAAGGCAGCUUUCUGGAUCAUUACUGACACUGAGGAACGAAAGCAUGGGUAGCGAAGAGGAUUAGAUACCCUCGUAGUCCAUGCCGUAAACGAUGUGUGUUAGACGUUGGAAAUUUAUUUUCAGUGUCGCAGGGAAACCGAUAAACACACCGCCUGGGGAGUACGACCGCAAGGUUAAAACUCAAAUGAAUUGACGGGGACCCGCACAAGUAGUGGAGCAUGUGGUUUAAUUCGAAGAUACGCGCAGAACCUUACCAACACUUGACAUGUUCGUCGCGACUCUAAGAGAUUAGAGUUUUCGGUUCGGCCGGACGAAACACAGGUGCUGCAUGGCUGUCGUCAGCUCGUGUCGUGAGAUGUUGGGUUAAGUCCCGCAACGAGCGCAACCCUCACUUUUAGUUGCCAUCAUUAAGUUGGGCACUCUGAAAGAACUGCCAGUGAUAAGCUGGAGGAAGGUGGGGAUGACGUCAAGUCCUCAUGGCCCUUACGUGUUGGGCUACACACGUGCUACAAUGGUAUCUACAACAGGAAGCAAGACUGCGAAGUUAAGCAAAUCCCUAAAAGAUACCUCAGUUCGGAUUGCACUCUGCAACUCGAGUGCAUGAAGCUGGAAUUACUAGUAAUCGUGGAUCAGCGUGCCACGGUGAAUGCGUUCCCGGGUCUUGUACACACCGC